rnacentral:rRNA from 1 species
UACGGAGGGUGCAAGCGUUAUCCGGAUUCACUGGGUUUAAAGGGUGCGUAGGCGGGCUUGUAAGUCAGUGGUGAAAGCCCGGAGCUUAACUCCGGAACUGCCAUUGAUACUAUCAGUCUUGAAUACCGUGGAGGUCAGUAGAAUAUGUCAUGUAGCGGUGAAAUGCUUAGAUAUGACAUAGAAUACCAAUUGCGAAGGCAGCUGGCUACACGAAUAUUGACACUCAGGCACGAAAGCGUGGGGAUCAAACAGG